rnacentral:rRNA from 1 species
CCCCACUGCUAUCGGGAUGGGACUAAGACAUGCUAGUCGAGCGUCUCCAAGCUAUGGAAGAGACGCGGCACACAGCUCAGUAACACGUGGCUAACCUGCCCUUGGGACAAGGACAACUCCGGGAAACUGGGGCUAAUCCCUGAUAAGUGAGAACUCCUGGAAUGGAUUCUCGCUCAAAGGACGUUUAGACCAUGCUUCUAGGCGUCGCCCAAGGAGGGGGCCGCGACCGAUCAGGUUGUUGGUGAGGUAACGGCUCACCAAGCCUUUAACCGGUACGGGCCGUGAGAGCGGAAGCCCGGAGAUGGGCACUGAGACAAGGGCCCAGGCCCUACGGGGCGCAGCAGUCGCGAAAACUCCGCAAUACACGAAAGUGUGACGGGGCUAUCCCGAGUGCCAUCCGCUGAGGAUGGCUUUUCCCCAGUGUAUAAAGCUGGGGGAAUAAGGAGAGGGCAAGCCUGGUGUCAGCCGCCGCGGUAAUACCAGCUCUCCGAGUGGUGGGGAUGCUUAUUGGGCCUAAAGCAUUCGUAGCCUGCUUGGCAAGUCCUCCGUUAAAUCCAACGAUUCAAUCGUUGGGCUGCGGGGGAUACUGUCCGGCUAGGGGGCGGGAGAGGCCGACGGUAUCCUCGGGGUAGGGGUGAAAUCCUAUAAUCCCGGGAGGACCACCAGUGGCGAAGGCUGUCGGCUAGAACGCGCUCGACGGUGAGGGAUGAAAGCUGGGGGAGCGAACCGGAUUAGAUACCCGGGUAGUCCCAGCUGUAAACGAUGCAGGCUAGGUGUUGGCGCGGCUACGUGCCGCUCCAGUGCCGCAGGGAAGCCGUUAAGCCUGCCGCCUGGGAAGUACGGCCGCAAGGCUGAAACUUAAAGGAAUUGGCGGGGGAGCACCACAAGGUGUGAAGCUUGCGGUUU